CCACAGCCCAAUUCCCAAGUGGAAUUCCCACAAUUCCAGAGCAGGAUUCCCGCUAUUCCCGUUGUUAUUCCCGUUAUUCCCGUUGUUAUUCCCAUUGUUAUUCCCGUUGUUAUUCCCAUUAUUCCCGUUGUUAUUCCUAUGUGGGAUUCCUGUUAUUCCCGUUGUUAUUUCUGUUGUUGUUAUUCCCGUUGUUACUCCCAUUGUUAUUCCUGUUGUUAUUCCCAUUGUUAUUCCCGUUGUUAUUCCCAUUAUUCCUGCUGUUGUUAUUCCCACUGUUGCUAUUCCCGCUGUUAUUCCCGUUGUUCCCAUUAUUCCCACUGUUAUUCCCAUUGUUAUUCCCGCUGUUGCUAUUCCCGCUGUUAUUCUCAUUAUUCCUAUUGUUAUUCCCGUUGUUAUUCCCACUGUUAUUCCUGUUGUUAUUCCUGCUGUUUUUCCCCUUGUUAUUCCCAUUAUUGUUAUUCCCGUUAUUGUUAUUCCUGCUGUUGUUAUUCCUGCUGUUAUUCCUGUUGUUCCCAUUAUUCCCGCUGUUAUCCCCACUGCUGUUCCCAUUGUUAUUCCCAUUGUUGUUAUUCCCAUUGCUGUUAUUCCUGUUGUUAUUCCCGCUGUUGUUAUUCCCAUUGUUGUUACUCCCGCUGUUAUUCCCAUUGUUAUUCCCGCUGUUGUUGUUCCCGCUGUUCAUUCCUAUUAUUCCCGUUGUUAUUCCCAUUAUUCCUGUUGUUUUUAUUCCCACUGUUAUUCCCGCUGUUGUUAUUCCCGUUGUUGUUGUUCCCGUUGUUGUUAUUCCCGCUGUUGUUGUUCCCGUUGUUGUUGUUCCCGUUGUUGUUAUUCCCGCUGUUGUUAUUCCCGCUGUUGCUAUUCCCGCUGUUGUUAUUCCCGCUGUUGUUAUUCCCGCUGUUAUUCCCGUUGUUGUUAUUCCCGCUGUUAUUCCCGCUGUUGUUGUUUCCGGUACCUCGUCCUCGCGCUCGAACAGGAGGAAGGCGAAGCUCUCGCGCAGCUCCUCGGGGCUGUACCCGGCCGCCGCCUUGGCGCGGGCAAAGGCUCGCAGCUGGAAAAUCCCCGGGAUCCCAGAUCACCACGGAUCCCCACGGAUCCCAAAUCAC
rnacentral:lncRNA from 1 species